UAACCAUGGUUGUGGACUCUCCCUAGAAA
rnacentral:piRNA from 1 species